AUGUGCUCCUGGGGAGGACGGGACUCCUGACCCAGGUGUGUGCUGAUGAUAAUGAUGUGGUGUUGAGGGCCCCCUCCCUGGUCCACCUCUGGCCUCCUGUGCAAUGAAGUGAGAGUGAGGAGAGGGCAGAGGAGGGCAGCAGGCUCUGGCUGCAGGAACUCCUGGGUCUUGAUAGAAGCAGAGCAGGGCAUGAACUCAGUUCACCUGCCCCUCCACACUGUCCAUCAGCUGGGAAGCAGAUUAAGGUGCCUGCACCUUGGGGACACUCUGCUGGAAAGAUCUCUCCACCAGCACAGCAGGUCUUUGGGCCUCGAAUGGCCAAUUAGGGCUGGGAACCGAACCCGGAAAUUCCUCUGAACCCCAGAGCAAUGAACAGGAGAAAUCCAAGCAAUGAAGAUGUGGCAAAGGAAAAAAAGAAACUUUAACCGGUGUAAAAACCUCAGUCUUAUCUAGAACCGGAUGGAUUCUCUACAGACGUGUGUGCGUGCUGGAGAUGGAGGUGGGUGAAUGUCAUAUCAAGACUGUAACUGCUUCCCUCUCUGGCCAACUAUUGCUGGUUUGCGUUGCUAGAUCUGA
ensembl:lncRNA